rnacentral:lncRNA from 1 species
AUCGAGGAGUUCAACUACCACAUAUUUCACACAUCUAUAGCAAGCAUCCAAACCUAACUGGCUCAAUCACAUUAAAAUAAAGUAUGGUCGACGGAUUCCUCUAGUAAACACCACCAGCAAAUCAGGAGAAGGGUCAUCCUCCACCUACUCAAGACUCUCCUAAUGGAAACUCGACCCCAAACUAUCUUCAAAAUAAAGAGGAUGACUCUCAGAUGUACUCCAAGUC